AAAGACCUAAUGAUUGACAGAGCUCUAGAUGGGACUCUGUCUCUGUCUCUCUGUCUUUCUCAGAUAGAGAUUACAUGUAUCUUUUACCCAACUUCCCUAACAGUAACAAUCUUACAAAACUGUAAUACAAUAUUACAAGCCUGCAUACUGACAUUGAUACAAGGAAGAUACAAAAUAGUUCCCUUACUCUAAUCACCCUCCCAUCACAACUUUGUAACUCACCCUGCCUUAAUAUACUACUCAUCUGUUCAACAUUUCUAAAAUUUUGAUCAUUUUAAGAAUAUUAUAUAGGAAUCUGGCACUGGUGGCUCAGUCCUGCAAUCCUAGCUACUCAGGAG